rnacentral:rRNA from 1 species
UACAGAGGUGGCAAGCGUUGUUCGGAAUUACUGGGCGUAAAGGGCGCGUAGGCGGCCUUCUAAGUCAGACGUGAAAUCCCCCGGCUUAACCUGGGAACUGCGUCUGAUACUGGGGAGGCUUGAGUAUGGGAGAGGGAUGUAGAAUUCCAGGUGUAGCGGUAGAAAUGCGUGAGGUAUCGUGGAGGAAUACCGGUGGCGAAGGCGGCAUCCUGGACCAUAACUGACGCUGAGGCGCGAAAGCUAGGGGAGCAAACGGG